UACGUAGGUGGCAAGCGUUAUCCGGAUUUACUGGGUGUAAAGGGCGUGUAGGCGGGACUGCAAGUCAGAUGUGAAAAUUAUGGGCUCAACCCAUAACCUGCAUUUGAAACUGUAGUUCUUGAGUGAUGGAGAGGCAGGCGGAAUUCCGUGUGUAGCGGUGAAAUGCGUAGAUAUACGGAGGAACACCAGUGGCGAGGGCGGCCUGCUGGACAUUAACUGACGCUGAGGCGCGAAAGCGUGGGGAGCAAACAGG
rnacentral:rRNA from 1 species